AUACUCUGGUUUCUCUUCAGAUCGUAUAAAUCUUUCGCCUUUUACUAAAGAUUUCCGUGGAGAGGAACAUUUAUGAGUUUUCAUAUAAAUUUGUUUGGGCAGGGAAAAAACCA